AAACAUGGCUCUGAUGACUAAACUUUUUUCCCCAGCAGAUCGACUCUGUUGAGUUUUUUUUUUUUUUUUAAUUUUAAGCCAAACUGUCUGAGCCAUUGUC